ensembl:snoRNA SNORD115 Small nucleolar RNA SNORD115
GGGUCUAUGAUGACAACCCAACGUCACGAAAAGAGGUGAUGACAUAAAAUUCAUGCUCAAUAAGAUUACCCUGAGGCAC